rnacentral:lncRNA from 1 species
GUCGCACCAUAAUGGAAUUUUACCUCAUUAUGGUGGAAAAGACGGUGUAUAAAUAUAUACGCGCAUAUCCCCUAUAUAAAUUAUUAUAUGUAUAUAGGGCUACGACGAUUGCGUCUAACGUCAGUAUGGUGGAAAAGCACGUAUAGCUAGCUAGCAUUUCUUCAUAUACAUAUUAUUCUCAUAAUCAUCCAAAUAUGGAUAUAUAUAUAUAUACUCACCGAAAUUCUCAAUUUCGGUUAUUCUCUAACAACAUAAAUUAUUUCGCAUGCACAUUACUUAAAAAAAAAGUCCACUCACAACUUUAGGCCUAAGCCUGACGUCGAUCCGAGGUCUCUUCUGCUUGAGCCUCCUCACGUCCUGUUUCCAAAUUGUAAAAUUAUUUUCCCAACUAAAAAUCCAAAUAUUAUACAAAAUAGACAAAAUUAAACGAGAGCCACUACAAAAAAGAAUUUAGUUAGCCACCCCAAAUUGCCACAGCACGGAUUUGCCAUCGCCGUUGGUCCAAGUUUCGCGACGGCGCUGCGACGGCAAUGCUUCCGUCGCUAAAUAAAAACCUUUUUGUGAUGGCAACACUACGCCGUGGCAAAAAAAUUUAAGUUUUGCAACGGCAACUUUGUGCCGUGGCAAAAAAUUGAAAUUCUGCGACGGCGGAAAAAGUCGUGGCAUACUUUGUAAUCAAUGGCGAUGGCAUGUUACCGCCGUCGCUAAUUUUUCUUAACUUUUUUUUAAAUGUCAACUCGAAAAUAAGAUUAUGCUUCCAUAAGGGAGCCCUAUCACGGGGACAUAAAUGUCCCAAAUUUUUUAUAUGGGUUGAAACAUCUCGUCCCCACGAGCGUGUAAGUGUUGACAGAUCAAGAAAUUAAUUUGUGAGGAAGUAGAUACAAGCGUUUUUA